rnacentral:rRNA from 1 species
AUUGAACGCUGGCGGCAGGCCUAACACAUGCAAGUCGAACGAGUGGCGGACGGGUGAGUAAUGUCUGGGAAACUGCCCGAUGUAGGGGGAUAACUCCUGGAAACGGUAGCUAAUACCGCAUACCAUCGGAUGUGCCCAGAUGGGAUUAUCUAGUAGGUGGGGUAACGCCUCACCUAGGCGACGAUCCCUAGCUGGUCUGAGAGGAUGACCAGCCACACUGGAACUGAGACACGGUCCAGACUCCUACGGGAGGCAGCAGUGGGGAAUAUUGCACAAUGGGCGCAAGCCUGAUGCAGCCAUGCCGCGUGUAUGAAGAAGGCCUUCGGGUUGUAAAGUACUUUCAGCGGGGAGGCGUUACUCGCAGAAGAAGCACCGGCUAACUCCGUGCCAGCCGCCGCGGUAAUAC